rnacentral:rRNA from 2 species
CUAAUGACUCUCAGCAACGGAUAUCUUGGCUCUUGCAAC